UACGUAGGGUGCGAGCGUUGUCCGGAAUUAUUGGGCGUAAAGAGCUCGUAGGUGGCGGGUCACGUCGGGUGUGAAAGCCCGGGGCUUAACUCCGGGUCUGCAGUCGGUACGGGCAGGCUAGAGUAUCGGAGAGGUUGGUGGAAUUCUCGGUGUAGAGGUGAAAUUCGUAGAUAUCGAGAGGAACACCGGUGGCGAAGGCGGCCAACUGGACGAAUACUGACGCUGAGACUCGAAAGCGUGGGGAGCAAACAGG
rnacentral:rRNA from 1 species